GAUCCUGGCUCAGAUUGAACGCUGGCGGCAUGCCUUACACAUGCAAGUCGAACGGCAGCAUGGAGGAGCUUGCUCCUCUGAUGGCGAGUGGCGAACGGGUGAGUAAAGCAUCGGAACGUACCGUGUAGUGGGGGAUAACUGCGGGAAACUGUAGCUAAUACCGGAUACUUUCCCUGGUGGGCAUCCACUGGGGAAGAAAGAAUUUCGGUCAAGGAUGAUCUCGCGGCCUAUCAGCUAGUUGGUGAGGUAAUGGCUCACCAAGGCGACGACGGGUAGCCGGCCUGAGAGGGUGACCGGCCACACUGGAACUGAGACACGGUCCAGACUCCUACGGGAGGCAGCAGUGGGGAAUAUUGCACAAUGGGCGCAAGCCUGAUGCAGCAACGCCGCGUGAGGGAUGAAGGCCUUCGGGUUGUAAACCUCUUUUAGCAGGGAAGAAGCGAAAGUGACGGUACCUGCAGAAAAAGCACCGGCUAACUACGUG
rnacentral:rRNA from 1 species